rnacentral:rRNA from 1 species
CAUCCCUCAAGCACUGCUUGGUAUUGGGUGUUCGCCCUUCUUCCGGGGGGCGCGCCCGAAAUUCAGUGGCGGUCUCGGUGGACUUCAAGCGCAGUAAAUAUUCCGCUUUGGAAGCCUUCUACCGGUGGCCCAGCCAGUAAAUCUU